CGGCCUAGCCCAGUCCCCUCUCGGCUCGCUCCGCCAUACGAAGCCCAACCCACCCAUCUCUCCUUUGCAAAGCCAGAGAACUUCAGUCCCCAUGUUGAAGCUCGGCGGUGGCGGCGGCGGUGGCGGGCAGGACUGGGCAUGCUCAGUAGCGGGGACAGGUCUGGGAGGCGAGGAAGCCGCGUUUGAAGUCGCGCGGCUGGGGGAUCCGGGGAAGGCGGGCUGCCGGGGCCCCGGCCGGGGGUGCGCUGGUAUCCCCGAUUCCGCGCCGGGAGUGGGCAUGCUCCAGGCCGGCGCCGGGGGGCCGGCGCGCGGGGGGCAGGGCGUGGAGGAGGUUGGAGCGCCGGCGGGAGGAGGGGAGGAGCGCCCGGCUCGCCAUCCCUCGGCGCCGGCUCUGCGGCUGUUGAAUCGGAAGCCGCAAGGAGGAUCCGGGGAAAUAAAGACGCCCGAGAAUGACCUCCAGCGAGGCCGCCUGAGCCGGGCCCCGCGCGCCGCCCCACCAGCCCCUGGCAUGGGCGACCACGGCGGGCAGCCGGAGCGCUCGGCCUCGCAUGCCCCGGGGACUCCCGCCGGCGCUGCAGCCGUGAACGGAGUGCUGCACAACGGCUUCCACCCGCCGCCCAUCCAGCCGCCGCGCCUCUGCAGCCGGAGCCUCCCGGGCGGCGGCGACGCGGCGCCCCCGCGCCUCCCGCUCCAGCCAGAGCUCCAGCCACAGCCGCCGCCCCCUCAGCACGACUCCCCGGCCAAGAAAUGCCGGCUGCGGAGGAGGAUGGACUCGGGGAGGAAGAACAGGCCGCCGUUCCCGUGGUUCGGCAUGGAUAUCGGUGGGACGCUGGUUAAAUUGGUCUACUUUGAACCGAAGGAUAUUACAGCUGAAGAGGAACAAGAGGAAGUGGAGAACCUGAAGAGCAUCAGGAAGUAUUUGACUUCGAACACGGCUUAUGGGAAAACCGGGAUCCGAGACGUUCACCUGGAACUGAAAAACUUGACCAUGUGUGGGCGGAAGGGGAACCUGCAUUUCAUCCGCUUUCCCAGCUGCGCGAUGCACAGGUUCAUCCAGAUGGGCAGCGAGAAGAACUUCUCCAGCCUCCACACCACUCUCUGUGCCACGGGAGGCGGGGCUUUUAAGUUCGAAGAGGACUUCAGAACGAUUGCUGACCUUCAGCUCCACAAACUGGACGAACUGGACUGUCUGAUUCAGGGCCUGCUUUACGUUGACUCUGUUGGCUUCAACGGCAAGCCGGAAUGUUACUAUUUUGAAAAUCCCACAAAUCCCGAAUUGUGUCAAAAAAGGCCGUACUGUCUGGAUAACCCGUACCCUAUGUUGCUGGUGAACAUGGGCUCAGGUGUCAGCAUCCUAGCAGUGUACUCCAAGGACAACUAUAAAAGAGUUACAGGGACCAGUCUUGGAGGUGGAACAUUCCUAGGCCUAUGUUGCUUGCUGACUGGUUGUGAGACCUUUGAAGAAGCUCUGGAAAUGGCAGCUAAAGGCGACAGCACCAAUGUUGAUAAGCUGGUGAAGGACAUUUACGGAGGAGACUAUGAACGAUUUGGCCUUCAAGGAUCUGCGGUAGCAUCAAGCUUUGGCAACAUGAUGAGUAAGGAAAAGCGAGAUUCCAUCAGCAAGGAAGACCUCGCCCGAGCCACCCUGGUCACCAUCACCAACAACAUUGGCUCCAUUGCUCGGAUGUGUGCAUUGAAUGAGAAUAUUGACAGAGUUGUGUUUGUUGGGAAUUUUCUCAGAAUCAAUAUGGUCUCCAUGAAGCUGCUAGCAUAUGCCAUGGAUUUUUGGUCCAAAGGACAGCUAAAAGCUCUGUUUUUGGAACAUGAGAUGAGCAAAGGGAAACUUAGCUGAUUUAGAUGCCUUUCCGGGAUCUACUGAGGGAAGCUUAGAGCUAUACCUUGUGAGACAUUACAACUUUGAAGUCAGAUAGAUUUGCGAUUGAACCCUGGCACAACUCAUGUGACCUUGAAAGGGGUUAUUUUGGAGCUGUUGGGGCACUGCUGGAACUGUUCAAAAUGACUGAUGACUAGUAGAGAUGGGACAGGGAUCCAAGCUCUGCGGCUGGAGAGGGUGAAAGCCACUGUGGGACGGAAGCCAAGCCAUUAUGGCAGAUGAACCUGCUGGAUUUGUAAAUAAUUAAAAUCCUUCUAGCUGAUCUUUUCUCUUGGGUUUUGAGCUUAUGAUUCAAAAUGGGGAAUACAAGAGUUUUUUCUGUAUACUGUAUUUUUUAAAAAAAUAUUUGUGCAGCGUGGCCAAACCUACCAAUCUUAUGCAUUGACUUUGAAAAAUGAUAUGAUGUUUAAGAAGGACCUGAAAUGUAAGUGCUGUUUAUUUUUCUUCUGGGGUUUACUGAUCAGUGUGGUAAUUUUAACUUCAUUUAGUAAUUACUCUAGGAGAUUUUACCUUGACUUAUAUUUUUCAUGACGUUUCAUGAUUUGCUGUUGGUUUCAAAUGAAACUACAAAUCUGUCAUGUUUUACUGUGAACACUAUUUUGUUUGUUUGUUUACCUUUUUGGGUCUUGUUUUUUCUGUUUGAAUGUCUUAGGGAAAAAGAGAGUCCUUCCCCCUGUUUCUGUCCUCAGAUGACUCCCCGUCCCCCCUCCAAUACCGUUCUUUAAUGUAAUUGUUCAUAUUAAUCAAGGUGCUGACCAACUCAAUACAAAGUUAAGCACGAGAUCUAAAGCUCUCAAAAGUGCCCUUGAAGAGAAAACUCUGAAAAAGUGUUCAUGAAUUUAGUGAGUCUGGCAAAAGUUGAAAAUUAUAUGCAAUUUUGUCGUAUCCCUUAUGAACAUAUAGUGUUGCGGUAGAUUUAUUUUAUGUUAGGUUAUGUUAAAUUGAAAUGUUCUCUGAUGAGGUGUCCUCAUCCAUGCACAGCGUAUGAAUGGCAACAAAUCCUUGUGCAAGAUAUUGGGAUUUACAGGGGAAAGUCUCCCGGUAGAUUAACUGUUCACGUUGGGAUGUUUAGGAGAAGUCAUGGGUUGAGAUGUCAUGUGGUAAUAUCUGUGUUUUGUACAUGUAUGUAGCUAGGAGCUUUGUAACAAGGCGUCUUAAAUAAUAAUAAAGUUGUUUUUUAUUUGAAAUAUUUUAAACUGUAUUUCAAUCCCACUUUCUAAAAUUAAAAAAAAAUUAUUAUACUGAUCUAUAUAUUUUUUUUCUGUUUGAAAGAUAUCAUUGGGACUGAUGGGUAACUUUCAAAUGAGAGUCUUAUACAAAUACUGAAACACAUGAGAUCUAAUGAUUUAGAACUAAUUAAUCUUUUGAAUUGAGCAUAUUGCUGAAAGGGAUUUUUGAAGGGCAGUACAAUUGCUCCAUGAUGAAACUUUCCUUCUUUGCCUCUGGGCACUAUCUUUAAUUUCUAUGUCUUCAAGUCUUGAAGAAGUUGAUGUUAAUGGAAGUAUUCACUUGUCUGGUUGAAAUAAAGCCUGUUUCUGUUGUGAUUUU